rnacentral:rRNA from 1 species
UUGGAGGGCAAGUCUGGUGCCAACAGCCGCGGUAAUUCCAGCUCCAAUAGCGUAUAUUAAAGUUGUUGCAGUUAAAAAGCUCGUAGUUGAAUUUCGGGAUCAGCAAGUUGGUCGUGCCUCUGGUACGUACUGGCUUUACUGGUUCCUCCUUCUUGAAGAACUGUAAUGUCAUUAAUUUGGUGUUGCAGGGAAACAGGACUGUUACUUUGAAAAAAUUAGAGUGUUUAAAGCAAGCUAACGCUUGAAUACAUUAGCAUGGAAUAAUGAAAUAGGACGUUUGAUCCUAUUUAGUUGGUUUCUAGGAUUGACGUAAUGAUUAAUAGGGAUAGUUGGGGGCAUUAGUAUUCAAUUGUCAGAGGUGAAAUUCUUGGAUUUAUUGAAGACUAACUACUGCGAAAGCAUUUGCCAAGGAUGUUUUCAUUAAUCAAGAACGAAAGUUAGGGGAUCGAAGACGAUCAGAUACCGUCGUAGUCUUAACCAUAAACUAUGCCGACUAGGGAUCGGAUGAUGUUAAUUUUUUAAUGACUCAUUCGGCGCCUUACGGGAAAC